CACAGCCAUUUUCUUAGCAGCUUUUUGACUGUAUGUUACCAUAGUCCCACAAGGCAUUGGUCCUUUCCCAUUGGGAAGUCAUGAAUAAGAGACUAUGAAGCUCACACGUCAGAUCUUCCUCAAUUAAUCCACCAUUAGCAUGUUCGGGGUCCACAACUGGAUGGUUAACAGCGGCUUUUGUAACUGUGUGCCGACCAUACCCAAUUAUGCUCUGCUAAAAAUGAACUCUUUGCAGACCAAGCCUCUCGGGCUGUCAGUGUUUUCCGUUUUCCUAUUUUAACGUUUGUGUAUAGUGGCAGGCGACAGAUGGUGUGGAUCAGAUCGAUUUGAUUGCAUUAGAUGAUUUUCCCCCCUUCCCCACGCCUUUCUGGAAGCUCGCAUCAGCUGAAGGCUCUCGCCUGGGACUCCUCCGAAGCAUGAGCAAGCCGCCACCACGCGAAGGCACUGGGGCACAGCCAGCGAGAGGCGAUGAGGUCCCUUCCCAGGGCUUGUUAACACUGUAACCGGGCGCUCAGAGAGCAGCGGCUCCCACUGCCCAAGCCUGCCUCGCCGCCCAUCGGAUGACUCCUGGCUUCUGCACACAGUUGGAGUUCAGCGGGCAACCUGGAUUUAGAGGGGUUCGCUUGCUGCCAUGACACUCAAUCAAAGCACCUAGAGUGGGCUGGCCAUGACCAGAGUCCGCAUGAAGCAGAGCAAAUACCAAGGAAAGCGCUGGGUGAUCACCAGAAUUGGAAAUAGAACAGCCAUUUGGAAGAUCUGGGCAGGAAGCAACAGAGCACAGCUUUGGAGCCUUCUUUAGGGAAAUCGAGUUAUGGAUUUAUGGUCCCGGUCAAGCUCAGCCCAGCCCUAGCCAGGGGCGGGCUCCGCAGCAAGAGUUCUUUCUGGUGGUGGCGGCGGCAGCGGCAGCAGUGACAGCGGUAGCAGAGGCAGAGGCAGCGGCAGCUUGGCCCUCUGACUCUCUUCGGUGACGGGUAUUCUUGGGUGGAUAAUACGGAUUACGUUGUUAUUGCUUAAGAAUACGCGUAGUCGAGGAGAGUACCAGCGGCAGGCGGGCAGCAGCCGCCCCUCCCAGCCCACCAGCUGGCCACUAAAAGCUCCCGGUUGCCAAGGUAGCACUUUUUAUGUUUUCUUUUCCUCGGGUGGUUUCGUUCUGGAUCUUCCUGGCACCUCUGGUGACCCAGACCGCUUUUAGAAGGA